CAGCACCAGGACUUGUCCAGGAAUUGCAGUCCUUGUGGCCUAGACUGCCUUUUAAGAUUAUUUAGAAUCACAGAGCACUUUAGCCCACAGUGGUGAAGCUAGCUGGAAUUCAAGUUCUGCCCACUGGGAAGGACGAUUCCUCUCUGUGUAGGCCUGGUGUAAAUGUUCCCUCCUUGGGCACUGGAUGAAUUCUGCUCUAUGCUGCUUUUUACUGUGACAGUGCAACACUGAAUUCCAAUGCAAAGUCACACAGUGAUUUUUCUUUUCAUUCCCCAAGUAUUCAGAUUCUCUCUUCAUGCCAUGUGGUGGCUGCCAGAGAGAAAAGUGGUGUCAGCAAUUCAAGACUGUGUUUCCUUACUCUCUUCAGUGUCUCCUUCCUUGAUAUGAUGCUAAAACCAGGUUCCAUUAAGUCCAGUUUGAUAACUGCAGUAUUCAAAACUUCCUUGUCUUUGCUAUGUUUUCAUCAGAGAGAGGAAUGGAGUCUUGCCAUGGUGCCCCAGCUGGUCUUGAACUUCUGGGCUCAAACAAUCCUCUUGCCUGUGCCUCCCACAGUUAUCAAUAUUGAAAGCCAGUUACUGAUGAUAAGAUAGGUACUUUGGAAUGAUAUCAUCACAGGAGGAACAUGGAAGUUCUACAGCACAUCUCUUUGGAGAGUAUCUAGGCAUGGAGAUUUUAAUGACCCAGAGCAGUAGAAGACAGAGUUGAAUUAUUUCAUUGUCCUCAAACAUCAUGCAUAGGUGUCUACUGGAGACAUCACAUACCAAGUGGCUUUGCUUGAUCAAUGCCUGAAACCAGGACAUGCCAACCAGUAUUGCUCAACACUUGCAGGCAUGGAAAUGAGAUGAUGAGAGAUGGAUAACACCCACACACAGACUUUGGUUCUAUAUAAAACUUCAAGUGUUUAGAUUUGACUUCAGAGAAAAGAGUGUUGGGUUAAAUUAAGUCUCAGCCACUCCAGCAGCAAAGAGUUUUAAAUUUAUGGUAAGCCCUCUUCUACCUUAUCUAGCAGGUAUGAAGUCAAUGUAACUAAAAUUGUCACUUAUUUGUCUUGCUUCUCUUAGUCAUAGUGGGUAAGCAAUCACUUUCUUCCAUAUUUUUCUUCGAUACCUAUAGUAGCUAAAAAAAGGUAAGUUACUUUUGAUGGUUCAGUAAAUGACACUCAAAUUUACCCUGCCCACAUCUAUUCUGAAUGUCCCUGAUUCUGCUUCUCAAGAGAGUAUGGACUUGGCUGAGAAUCCGUAUUGAUGCUGCUUAGAUUCAUUAAAUUCACAGUAAUCUCUUCUCCAACCUUCAGAAGAUGCUCAAAAACCUGGCUGAUGAGGUCCUCCAAUUUCUAACAUUGUUAAUAGUCUACUCUAAACUACUUAAGAAUUCAACCAUAGCCAAUAAUUUUCCUUUAUUUGAGAGAAAUAAUAGCCCCAAAGGCUGGGUCUUUAAGAAGUUUUAAAUUACAUUUCUUCCUCUGAAUCUCUUGCAAGCUCUUGUGGCUGUACUCUGGCCCCAGGGGCUUUCAAAGAUUUUGCUUGUGACUCCACAGUAAGGUAUAUUCAAUAGAUACCAAAAAUAAUAAAAUUAUAAAACAGCAUCUUUACUAUGAGUGGUACACUCUAACAUUUUUCUUUUCUAUUCUAUUCCAUUCUAAUGAUUUUUAUAUCAUUUAAAAAUAUUGGUUAUGACUAGACUGACAAUAAUGAGUGUCUCCAGGAAAAUCCUGGCUUAUCUUUGUUAAUUCCACAUAAUUAUUUGUACCAUUUAUGUUUCUCUGUAAAAUGUUUCAUGUUGUAUAAUAAAUUAUUUGGUUAUCCCAGUUAAAAUUCACUAAAUUGAUUUCUCAGCAUACUAACAGUUGUAAUUCAAAUAUUUAGGUAUUUGUCUUCUGAAUUAGACAUUUGUUUCUCUGAAAACAUCUCCAACUUUUCAUAAUUUGUCAUCCUCUCCCAUAGACUGAAUUUGUUUUGUAAUUUUCUGAAAUCUUAACCUGUUUCUUGGUGAUGUGCACAGGACUGGGCUCUAAGCAUUUUGUUGAUACCCUAUGAUUCUUACAAACUCAGAUACAAGUGUCAUUGAAUUGUCAGAACGUAUACAAAUUUUACUUUUUCAUUUUUAAAAUAAUUAAGUGAUUUAGGAAUGUGGUAUUAAAAAUCACCUUACACAUCUUAUAAUUUCUUUGCUUUACUUUUGAAAUGUCUUUGAAAUUCAUCUCUUUCAUAAAAUUAUAAAAUUUGAAAUUUCUUUCCUUAGGUAAAUGCUAUACAAGUGCCAGCUAGAAAAAUCCCCAUUCACAAACUUACAGUACUUUCUACUCAUUUGCCUUUAUUGUUGGGUCUAAUUUGGGUGAUUUUUGGCCUUUGCUGUACAGGCAGAAGUUGUUACGAAUAAAA
rnacentral:lncRNA from 10 species